AGUAUUUUUAUAAUUCUAUUUUAAAAAAUUUAUUGAAUAUUUUUAUUUUUGUAUUUAUAAGGUUUUUAAAGAAAAAUAAAAACCGCAAACGCUAGCUGAAACCAGCUUUUGAUUUUAAGAGGUUCGGAGCGGUUUGAAGCGAUUUGUAACGGUUUGGAUGAUUGUUUUGAAACGCUGUCAACCGUUACCAACCGCAAAAGCUGUGUUUGCGGAUGGUAGCGGGGAAACCAAUCAAGCUCUUAAAACGAUAACAAAUCCACUAGUAAAUACUAGUACUAAUUUUUCAAGCUCUAAUACUCUCUUCGUUUCAUAUUAAAUAUUAAAUGCCGUUUAAAAUAAAAUUUUCAUUACAAAAUAAAUAUUUUAAAAAUUCAUUGCAAAUUUAUUAAAUUUAUAUGCUUUUAUGACUUUAUAUUUUCCAGUUUAUUUUUAUACUAAUUGAAAUAUGGUUAAUUAUAUAGAUAGGAAUAUUUUUAUUUAGAAAAUAUAUAAAAUUAAUUUUCACAAUUACAGAGCAUUAAGCUUUAAACCCACACAUACAUACAUUAUAGUAUUAAACCCACGAACCCAUAUAUACAUUAUAGUAUUAUACAAUGAGAUUUGAUUGCACCCACACUCUCCCUCAAAUAUGUGUUUCCGAUUCACAUGGCACUCACAAGACACAAUCAAUGUUUUUAGGUUCUUUGUCUACCAAAACAUCAUUAACCAAAUGGUUGUGCCUUGUUGUAUUGGUAAAUGUAUUUAUUUUCGUUUGGUAAAAUGUCAUUUUUAUUUUACCAACGAAAACAUUUUCGUUUUGAAAUUGUUCCCUUGAAGCUAGAAGUAAUAUACACUCUUGGUUAAGAUAUUAAUUUUCAUUAGGUACCGUCUUAAACAAAUGUAACAUUCCAGUUAUCUAAAGAAACGGUUAACAAUGGGGGUGAUUGGUUGGGCUGUAGAAAGUGACUUUAGCUUUAAUUUUCAUCUACAACCUUAAAUACUAUCAAUCAUGCUUUAUCUUGGUUUUUAAAGCUACAACCAAAAAAUUAAAACUACAGCAAAAACACACAAAAAAUGGCUGUAAACAUCUUAUUUUCUAAAGCCCCAUUUUUUUAGCUGUAGGAAAUUUUAAAGCUACAUCAUUUAAAGCUAAAUCAAAAAUCCUACAGACAAAAUAUUAAAGUAAAUUUUCUACAAUUACAACCCAACCAAUCACCCCCAACAUGUUGAAACAUCUUUUUAUUAUCAGGAGAUUAGAGCUAUAAAGUUAGAUGCCGGACGAUGUAACUAUCUUAUCUAUUUCAAAAUCACGAAUUCAUUUUUUCGUUCUUUUCAGAAAUUGAUUGAAAGCUUUUGGGGGAAAAAAUAAGAUAGAAGAAAAUACUAACUGGGCCUUAAAAUGGCAGAAAGCCCAAGCUUAUGAAAAAAGUCAACUAGUUCAAACCGAUAUGGUUCGUUGUUCUUGAUUCCUGGGACUCCUCUUGCUCCUUGGGAUAUUCGUUUUCUCUCUGUUAUCCGCACGAAAGUGUGCCGAUCAAUCUCUUCACCAUCUGAUGAUCUCUAUAAUUUUUUUACUCUGUCUCGAAACGACCAGGUUGCAUCAGAAGCUAAUGUGGGCACGCGCAGAUCAAUCCCUGAAGCUAUCAUAUCUGGAUCCUAUUAACAAGGGUGUGUGAAGAUCUCGUAAAAAGCACUUUGACUAUCUGUAACUAAAACCAGGUGGAAAAUGGCUUUCAUGUUUUCGUGGAGGACUGUAAAUUGUAAAUUAAAAGCAUGGUUUGCGUGAGAGGUUGCGAUUUUUUGGAGAAAGUUAUUGUAACGCACAAGAAAAAGGGGUGGAAACAACUUGGUGGGUUUCCUAUGUACGUCUUAGUGCAUUGAUGAUGAUGAAACCAUACCAGUCCCAUUUGCAAAAAAAAAAAUAUAUAUUUUUGAUUUUUGUUAUUUAAUCUUUAAAAAUUGAGCAGCUAAUAUUAUAAAUAUCAUCUUCUUAAAGAUUUUCUAAACUUGAUUCCAGAUUUUGUUUCAGCUACUAUGCAAAAUUCUAUGAUGGUCAAAAGUAUAACUAUAAUGCACGGAUUAAGACCCCGAUUAAUACUGGCAAACUGAUAGUUGAGCUAUUCCAUCUCUUCUUAGUACCGACUAGAAACUAUACUUUUUAUUUAUUUACAUAACUAUAAAUUUAUGAAACAAUAGAACACAUUAAAAAUACGAGGAAAAGUAAUAAAUAAUAAGAGUCAAAAGACAAGAAAAGAGAGGAUAUGCAACCUUGGCUUUCUAUUUUUCUUUAUAGAAAAGCAACAAAUAAUUGCAAUAAGGCAUAUAUAACUGUGUGAUGAAAAUUGAAAACAUCAUGAAUUUAAUAUACAAACUCCUUUUACGGAUCACUUGAUAUUUCAACUUUAUUUUGGUGCUUCUCAAAAGAGCUUUCGUCUAAAUUCUAUAAGAACCAAAAGAGAAAAAUAAAGGGUUUAAAAACAAUUCGACCAAAAAAGCUCAAAAAAAUAAAAA